GCGUGCACGCGCACGUGUGUGUGUGUGUGUGUGUGUGUGUGUGUCCCUCACGGGCUGUAGCGUUCUGCAGAGCAUCCCGCAAGCCUGCACUUCACG
rnacentral:miRNA from 1 species